UACGUAGGGGGCAAGCGUUGUCCGGAAUCAUUGGGCGUAAAGCGCGUGUGGGCGGCCCGGUAAGUCCGCUGUGAAAGUCGGGGGGCUCAACCCUCGGAUGCCGGUGGAUACUGUCGGGCUCGAGUACGGAAGAGGCGAGUGGAAUUCCUGGUGUAGCGGUGAAAUGCGCAGAUAUCAGGAGGAACACCAAUUGCGAAGGCAGCUCGCUGGGACGUUACUGACGCUGAGACGCGAAAGCGUGGGGAGCAAACAGG
rnacentral:rRNA from 1 species